GAUGAACGCUGGCGGCGUGCUUAACACAUGCAAGUCGAGCGAAGCACUUAAGUUCGAUUCUUCGGAUGAAGACUUUUGUGACUGAGCGGCGGACGGGUGAGUAACGCGUGGGUAACCUGCCUCAUACAGGGGGAUAACAGUUAGAAAUGGCUGCUAAUACCGCAUAAGACCACAGUACUGCAUGGUACAGUGGUAAAAACUCCGGUGGUAUGAGAUGGACCCGCGUCUGAUUAGGUAGUUGGUGAGGUAACGGCCCACCAAGCCGACGAUCAGUAGCCGACCUGAGAGGGUGACCGGCCACAUUGGGACUGAGACACGGCCCAGACUCCUACGGGAGGCAGCAGUGGGGAAUAUUGCACAAUGGGCGAAAGCCUGAUGCAGCGACGCCGCGUGAAGGAUGAAGUAUUUCGGUAUGUAAACUUCUAUCAGCAGGGAAGAAAAUGACAGU
rnacentral:rRNA from 1 species